AGAGUUGUGCAUAAUGUGAAUAUUUUUGGCUACCUCCAUUUAAAUUUUUGUAAGCUUUCUUGAGCCCCUACCUGGGGAAGAGGUGGGAUGUCAAUAAAAACAACAAGAAAAGCAACAUCAUCAUCAUCAACAAGAUAAACAGCAACCACAGGAUACAGUGAAUUUUGUCAUAAUUUUGUCAACCAGAACCAGAUGUGCCUUUUCUUUUGACAGCACGGAAAAACAAAAUCAUAUUUGUUCAAACCCCAAAGCAGGGAGAUUUCUGGCUUGGUCUGAUCAAGGACCCAUUUGUUGGUCUUUUUGGCUGUCCAUGGGAACCUCAGCACCCUCCUCCAGCCCCACGUAAUCUGAAAUGAAUUGAUUUUCUUCCUAUCUGCCUUCCUUGCCGUCCAGGUUUUGUACCCAUAUGUGGCAAUGGGGAAUACAACAGCUCGGAUGAUCCUAACUGACAACUGGUGAAUGUGGCCAAAGGGGACAGAACUGGAAGAAGCGCCGUUGAGGGACAUUAAAACUAAAGGAGCAGGAAACACCUCCCUGAAAGGCAGGGUAGCAAUUCAAAUAAGCAAGUAAGGACAUCCCAGAGACAAACCCGGCAAACAUACAAUCAAGUAAAAUAAA